rnacentral:lncRNA from 1 species
GGAAAGGAACCAAGAAUUAAGGUUUCUGUGAAGGGCUGCACACAUACACAAAUCUGCAAACAAUAGUGUUUACUAGUGGACUGGUUUUUUUUGUUGUUGUUGUUGUUUUUUUUUUGCUACUGGGGACCGAACCCAGGGGUGCUUAACUACUGAGCCACAUACCCCAUCUCCAGCCCUUUUUAUAUUUUAUUUUGAGACAGGAUCUCAAUAAGUUGCUAAGGCUGGCUUUGAACUCAUGUCCCCCCUGCUUGGGCCUCCUAAGCUGCUUUUUUAUAGGCAUUCACCACCAUACCCAACAGCCUGCAGUCAGCAUCCAGACUAGAAGCCCUAGAAGCCCUUGUGCUCUCUGCACCUAUUCCUCCCCCUGGGGAGUUCCCUGAUUUUGUCAGUGCAGAUCAUUUUUGC